rnacentral:lncRNA from 1 species
GGCACAGAAUCCCGCCUGCACACCCCCAUGUACUUCUUCCUCAGCAACCUGUCUUUUGUGGAUGUCUGCUUCUCCUCCACAAUUGUCCCCAAGAUACAGAACACAGGAUAAAAACCCUUCAGCUAAAAGAAUGAAAAACCCUUUAACAAAUGUCGAUUACUUGGCAAAAUGCCAUGAGAACCUCUGCACAAUUUUGGGCAUGUGUGAGGAGACUCAAUGGGACAACACUGGAAAGCAAGUAAUGAGUGCCAACACCCAAUUGGGAGUCUCUGGUCCACCUCUGGAAAACCACAGAGAUUUGUUCUUUCUCACCACAGAGACCUCAGCUUGAGCCAAUCUCAUAGGAAGAUCAGACUUGGUGGUUUGAGAAGGGAGGGUUUGGAGCUCCAGAAAACCCUACUUCUGCAGCUCAUUUGGACUUAUGAUGUUAUUUUGAUGUCUUGGAAUUAUAUAGCAUCUAACAUUAAGCUCCAAGUAUGCCAAUUUAAUAAAAAUGAUCUGUGUCUUCUACAGUUCUAGUGGGCAGAUCUGUCAGUCUCUGAGGCCUCUUUCCCUGCCUCUGUCAGUGUUUGCUGGUGUUUUCAUGUAGCAACUAUCUUGUUGUUGUUUGGUUUGAGACAGAGUCUCGCUGUACAGGCCUGACUGUCCUAAAGAUCUGAUUUUGCAAAAAAAACCUUAUGAGCUUUCAAUGUUCAUUUCAUA